UAACCACGAGAUGAUAGAUUUACCAUUUUGUGAGCCGUUUAUAUUUGGAAACCCGGUGGAAUUGCAUUUACAGGUUCCCAAUGGGAACUUCCCAAGGGCGAAAUUCAGUGGAGCGAGAUCUAUUGACCGAGUUGAAAACCCCAGAAUCCUAGAGAUCAUGACCCGGGUGGAAUCGGCGAGUCGAUUCAAGGCCCUGGAAGAAUCACCUGAAGAAUCGACAGAGAAAUCUACAGGAAAUACUCGGCUGGAGAUGCAUUUCUUUCUUCAAAGGCUGGCCAACUUCAUCCUUAAUGAAAUGUGCAAGUGAUGGAAAGGAAAGAUCUCUUGACGUCCUCUCUAUCUACCAUGAUUAUAGCAGGUGAUGUAUCAUCUUUACAUCGAAGUUGAACUCUUUCGUUCCACAUAACAUCUUCUUACUCCAUGGAAGGUUAAUUUAUUGUUUACUUUGCCGGAGGACAUUAUGAGAAUAUCGACGAGACAGAAAUUUUCACAUUUCAGGAAUAAAUAUGUUGGAGUUAGGAGUAGGUUACAGGUUAGAGGAAGUUUGAUUUAUUGUCGAUAAGGAGCUGACCAUUAAGAUACAUCUCUACAGCCGUAAAAAAGGGCCUGAGUAUCGGUGAAUGUAGUUAGUCAAUCGAGUAUUCUGCAUAUUAAUUGCAGCUAAAAGAUCACAGUCUGCAUUGGUGGAUACAGUCUAGCUUGAGAAGAGAAAACCUUGUGGUUGAAAUUUGAGCACCUCUUAGUCUUCAAACUCUCAUGAGAACCAGUCAUAUGAUGUUGCUUCACAGUUAAGUUCAUACCGGUCCUUCUCCUCCACAUUGGAAAUUAGCUUUUAACAAGCCAUUGGAGUACAUCCAUUAUGUUCUUCUUUUUGCUGUUUCAUCAUGUAGUUCCUGUGAUCUGUAUUGAUUACAUUGAACCAGGGAUGAAUAAGGAAACGGGGUUUCAAUAAUGGCUACAGUAUCUUCUUUUUCUUUUUCUUUUUCCUGGAAUGGGAUUCUUCUGGUUGAUGACUGUUCAAUUCUGUGGCCGUGGAGGGGACGGAGAAAGGGAUAAAGAAGGGACAUCUUUAGUUGCCCACAAUGGACGUUCUGUGUAUUGUUCAUUUCCAGUGAAUGGACCACAACAAGGCAGCGGAAUCUUGCAUCUGAAAGCUGUUUGAUGCAGUGGAGGUAUUGCUCUAAACUCUGGCUUAUAUUUGAUAUGCACAUGGGUUUAGACGUGUUUUGUUUUCUUCUUUCCAUGAUUUGUUUUGGCAACGGGGUCGUGUCGUAUGUUGUUCGGACCCAUGAGAUGGAAGGGACAUGUAAAAUCUUGUCCCUCCCUAUACAAUUUGUAUCAUCAUGAGAAAGGAUGAACCUUGAAACCAUCGAAUGAAAGUCUCUGACCCGAUUAGAGGUUUCACCUUGGGGGGUCGGAGAAGGAAGGAGCUUGAGAA